rnacentral:rRNA from 1 species
UACGUAGGGCGCAAGCGUUAUCCGGAAUUAUUGGGCGUAAAGAGCUCGUAGGCGGUCUGUCGCGUCUGCUGUGAAAACUCGGGGCUUAACCCCGGGCCUGCAGUGGGUACGGGCAGACUAGAGUGAUGUAGGGGAGGACUGGAAUUCCUGGUGUAGCGGUGAAAUGCGCAGAUAUCAGGAGGAACACCGAUGGCGAAGGCAGGUCUCUGGGCAUUAACUGACGCUGAGGAGCGAAAGCGUGGGGAGCGAACAGG